CGGCUGCCCUGCGAGCUUCCAG
rnacentral:misc_RNA from 1 species